rnacentral:rRNA from 1 species
UACGUAGGGUGCGGGCGUUAAUCGGAAUUACUGGGCGUAAAGCGUGCGCAGGCGGUCUGCUAAGCGAGAUGUGAAAUCCCCGGGCUUAACCUGGGAACUGCGUUUCUAACUGGCAGGCUUGAGUGUGGCAGAGGGGGGUGGAAUUCCACGUGUAGCAGUGAAAUGCGUAGAGAUGUGGAGGAACACCGAUGGCGAAGGCAGCCCCCUGGGCUAACACUGACGCUCAUGCACGAAAGCGUGGGGAGCGAAAAGG